GAAGCUACCAACAUGAGUUUGACCCAACUGCAGGAGGCAGUGGAAGACAAAAGGGCCUGGUGUGCUCUGGUCCAUGGGGUCACGAAGAGUCAGACAUGACUAAACGACUAAACAACAACAACGUUAUUAUUAGGAAUAAUUUUCCAAUGUUAAGAGCUGUUCAACAGUGGAACGGGCUCCCCUGGGAGGUUGUGGAGGUCUUCAAGGAGAGGUUGGGUCAUGGAUGCUUCAGUUGAGAUUCCUGCAUUGCAAAGGGUUGGACUAGAUGACUCUAGUGUCCCAGGAGGAAGAGGGUAGGCCAGAGGGUGGGGUUCUGUCAGGGCAGAAUGGAAAUCACAGAAGGUGGAGAGGGGGACCCCAAACCAGAGAAGACCCUCCUCCCAAAUGGCCGUGAGCUAAGCCACUGGGGUCUUUGGCUACCUUACGAUUGGCCUCCAUCCUGGCCCAGCUAUGAAUAGAAUCCCCUUGGCCUGGACACUCUGUGGAAAGGGGCCUUCUCAGUGAUGGCCCCGACCUGGUGGAAUGCUCUGUCCCAUGAGACCAGGGCCCUACAGGAUUUAACCUCCUUCCGCAGGGCCUGUAAGCCAUAGCUAUUCCACCUGGCUUUCAAUUUGAACUUAGCCUGAUCUUUCAUUCCUCUUCCUUCCCUUCCCUUUUUAUGAAGAUUACCCGCUCUGGGAUCCCACAGCUAAUUCUCCCUUGGUCUCCUCGCUGGCCCAAAUAGGACUAAUUUAGCCAGCUAACCCUGGUGAUCAUCUAAUGUUUAUUGGAUGGAUUUCCCCCCUAAAUUGAUUUUCGUAUUCUGACUUUAUUGUUUUAUACUGUAUUUUAUGCUGUUUUUUGUUGCAUCAAUUAAGUGUUUUAAAUUUGUUGUUAGCUGCCCUGAGCCCUGUUUUCUGAAUCGGGAAGGGCGGGGUAUAAAUAAAAAUUUAUUGUUUAUUAUUAUUAUGAAAAUCUGGAAGAUGUCCCCUGCAGAUGGGGCACUCGGAGCACAGGGUGGAGGAGGGAAGGGUCAAGAGAUGCCCCAUCUGUCCCUCUGUCCUUUCCGCAGAGCCAAAAGCAACACAAAGACCUUGCAGGGAUGGGUUUUGGCUCGCAACCCAGGUGAGGAUGGAUGGACGGCCAGCCAUCGUGGGCCUGUCACAGAGACAUUAAAAAAAGAGGGAGCGGAAUGGGGGAACGACAAGCAGUGUGUCAAGAUCAGGUCAGGCUCCAGCAGGAGAAGGGGAAUUGGGAAUAAUUUACAGCCCGACCUGAGGCUGACACUUGGCUUUCGGAGUCCUGAGGAAGACGGGGGUUUUUUAAAUAAAGGGGAUGGGAGGAGAGACGCAGGAGAACGUCAGGAGAGCUGCUGGAUCAAGCCCGAGGGGGCCCGACUAAUCCGGCAUCCUGUUCCCACAUUGGCCAACCAAUGGCCCCAAAGGGAAGCCCAAUUUGAGCAGAAAAACCCUCCCGUCUCCAGCAACUGGUAUUCCAAAGCGUUGUUGUUGUUUAGUCGUUUAGUCGUGUCCGUCUCUUCGUGGCCCCCUGGACCAGAGCAUGCCAGGCACUCCUGUCUUCCACUGCCUCCCGCAGUUUGGUCAAACUCAUGCUGGUAGCUUCGAGAACACUGUCCCACCAUCUCGUCCUCUGUCGUCCCCUUCUCCUUGCGCCCUCCAUCUUUCCCAACAUCAGGGUCUUUUCCAGGGAGUCUUCUCUUCUCAUGAGGUGGCCAAAGUAUCGGAGCCUCAGCUUCAGGAUCUGUCCUUCCAGUGAGCACUCAGGGCUG